GGGAUUUUGCAGGUUAGUCCGGCAUCGUAGAAGGACCAUUUUUGCAUCAGAUUGAUUUUGCACCUGAGUCUGACAUCAUACAAGGACCAUUCCUGCAUCAGAUUGGAUUUUGCACCUGAGUCUGACAUCGUAAAAGGACCAUUCUUGCAUUAUAUUGUGUCUAACGGGUGAACGCGAUGUCGUAAGGCCACCGUUCUUACACUAAAUUGUAGGUAUUAAAAUUUUCUAUCGUUUUUGUAUAUAAUUUGUGGGUUUGUCCAUUGGGAAUUCUACGAAAAUGCAAUUUUUGUGUUUUUUGAUCCUGUAAUUGUUGUGGUUUUAGGUGUCUAGCGCGCGGACGCGAUGUCGUUGGGCCGUCGUUCUUACACUAAAUUGUAGGUAUUAAAAUUUUCUAUCGUUUUUGUAUAUCAUUUGUGGGUUGUCCCUUGGGAAUUCUACGAAAAUGCCCUUUUUGUGUUUUUGUAUCCUUUAAUUGUUGUGGUUUUAGAUGUCUAGCGGGCGGACGCGAUGUCGUAGGGCCACCAUUCUUACACUAAAUUGUAGGUAUUAAAAUUCUCUAUGGUUUUUGUGUAUAAUUUGUGGGUUUGUCCCUUGGGAACCCUAUGAAAAUGCCCUUUUUGUAUUUUUUUAUCCUUUAAUUUUUGUGGUUUUAGGUGUCUAGCGGGCGAAGACGAUGCCGUAGGACCACUGUUCUGUUACCAAAUUGUCGGUAUUAAAAUUCUCUAUCGUUUUUGUAUAUA